rnacentral:misc_RNA from 1 species
UACGGAGGGAGCUAGCGUUGUUCGGAAAUACUGGGCGUAAAGCGAACGUAGGCGGCUUUUCAAGUCAGGGGUGAAAUCCCGGAGCUCAACUCCGGAACUGCCCUUGAAACUGGAUCGCUAGAAUCCUGGAGAGGCGAGUGGAAUUCCGAGUGUAGAGGUGAAAUUCGUAGAUAUUCGCAAGAACACCAGUGGCGAAGGCGGCUCACUGGACUGGUAUUGACGCUGAGGUACGAAAGCGUGGGUAGCAAACAGG